CUUCAUUUAAUUGCAUGGAUCCCUCCAAAUAGCUUGAUCCAAUUGUUUCUCUCUCUCUUUUUUUUUAUUUUCUUUUAUUCAUAAAAUCCCUAUCAGAUAUCAAUAAAUUAUUAUAUAUCAUACACGUGAGAGAUCUAAAUUUGGACAUGAGCUUCAUCUACACGUACUAAAGAGCCAUUUGCUUGUUGAUUUACGAUUAAAUUUCAUAAUUAAUUAUUUU
rnacentral:lncRNA from 1 species